UUCACACUGCCGAGAAAAGCCUCUAGAUAGAAAAUAGGCGCCCGUACCGCAAACCGACACAGGUAGUCAAGAUGAGAAUUCUAAGGUGAGCGAGCGAACUCUCGUUAAGGAACUCGGCAAAAUGACCCCGUAACUUCGGGAGAAGGGGUGCUCUUUAGGGUUAACGCCCAGAAGAGCCGCAGUGAAUAGGCCCAAGCGACUGUUUAUCAAAAACACAGGUCUCUGCUAAACCGUAAGGUGAUGUAUAGGGGCUGACGCCUGCCCGGUGCUGGAAGGUUAAGAGGAGUGGUUAGCUUCUGCGAAGCUACGAAUCGAAGCCCCAGUAAACGGCGGCCGUAACUAUAACGGUCCUAAGGUAGCGAAAUUCCUUGUCGGGUAAGUUCCGACCCGCACGAAAGGCGUAACGAUUUGGGCACUGUCUCAACGAGAGACUCGGUGAAAUCAUAGUACCUGUGAAGAUGCAGGUUACCCGCGACAGGACGGAAAGACCCCGUGGAGCUUUACUGUAGCCUGAUAUUGAAAUUCGGCACAGCUUGUACAGGAUAGGUAGGAGCCUUUGAAACGUGAGCGCUAGCUUACGUGGAGGCGCUGGUGGGAUACUACCCUAGCUGUGUUGGCUUUCUAACCCGCACCACUUAUCGUGGUGGGAGACAGUGUCAGGCGGGCAGUUUGACUGGGGCGGUCGCCUCCUAAAAGGUAACGGAGGCGCUCAAAGGUUCCCUCAGAAUGGUUGGAAAUCAUUCAUAGAGUGUAAAGGCAUAAGGGAGCUUGACUGCGAGACCUACAAGUCGAGCAGGGUCGAAAGACGGACUUAGUGAUCCGGUGGUUCCGCAUGGAAGGGCCAUCGCUCAACGGAUAAAAGCUACCCCGGGGAUAACAGGCUUAUCUCCCCCAAGAGUUCACAUCGACGGGGAGGUUUGGCACCUCGAUGUCGGCUCAUCGCAUCCUGGGGCUGUAGUCGGUCCCAAGGGUUGGGCUGUUCGCCCAUUAAAGCGGUACGCGAGCUGGGUUCAGAACGUCGUGAGACAGUUCGGUCCCUAUCCGUCGUGGGCGUAGGAAAUUUGAGAGGAGCUGUCCUUAGUACGAGAGGACCGGGAUGGACAUACCUCUGGUGUACCAGUUGUCGUGCCAACGGCAUAGCUGGGUAGCUAUGUGUGGACGGGAUAAGUGCUGAAAGCAUCUAAGCAUGAAGCCCCCCUCAAGAUGAGAUUUCCC
rnacentral:rRNA from 1 species